AUUGAACGCUGGCGGCAGGCCUAACACAUGCAAGUCGAACGGUAACAGGAAGCAGCUUGCUGCUUUGCUGACGAGUGGCGGACGGGUGAGUAAUGUCUGGGAAACUGCCUGAUGGAGGGGGAUAACUACUGGAAACGGUAGCUAAUACCGCAUAACGUCGCAAGACCAAAGAGGGGGACCUUAGGGCCUCUUGCCAUCGGAUGUGCCCAGAUGGGAUUAGCUAGUAGGUGGGGUAACGGCUCACCUAGGCGACGAUCCCUAGCUGGUCUGAGAGGGUGACCAGCCACACUGGAACUGAGACACGGUCCAGACUCCUACGGGAGGCAGCAGUGGGGAAUAUUGCACAAUGGGCGCAAGCCUGAUGCAGCCAUGCCGCGUGUAUGAAGAAGGCCUUCGGGUUGUAAAGUACUUUCAGCGGGGAGGAAGGGAGUAAAGUUAAUACCUUUGCUCAUUGACGUUACCCGCAGAAGAAGCACCGGCUAACUCCGU
rnacentral:rRNA from 1 species